rnacentral:rRNA from 1 species
GAUGAACGCUGGCGGCGUGCCUAAUACAUGCCAGUCGAACGGACGGACGCGAAGCUUGCUUCUCUGAUGUUAGCGGCGGACGGGAGAGUAAAGCGUGCAUCCCCUACCUAUAAGACUAGGAUAACUUAGGGAAGCCGGUGCUAAUACGGGAUAAUAUUUUGAACCGCAUGGUUCAAAAGUGUAAGCCGGUCUUGCUGUCCCUUCUAGAUGGCUCCGGGCUGCAUUGGCAUUGUGGUAAGGUAACGGCUUACUGAGGCCAGGAUGGAUAGCCGACCUGUGAGGGUGUUGGGCCACACUGGAACUGAGCCGCGGUCCUGACUCCUACGGGAGGCAGCAGUAGGGAAGCGUGGGCGAUGGGCGGAAUCCUGACGGAGCAGCGCCGCGUUAGUGAUGAAGGGCUGCGGAUCGUAAAACGCUGUUAUGAGGGAAGAACAUAUGUGGAAGGAACGGUGCACAUCGUGACGGUACCUAAUCAGAAAGCCACGGCUAACUACGUG